rnacentral:rRNA from 1 species
GUGUCAGCAGCCGCGGUAAUACGUAGGUGGCAAGCGUUAUCCGGAAUUAUUGGGCGUAAAGCGCGCGCAGGUGGUUUCUUAAGUCUGAUGUGAAAGCCCACGGCUCAAUCGUGGAGGGUCAUUGGAAACUGGGAGACUUGAGUGCAGAAGAGGAAAGUGGAAUUCCAUGUGUAGCGGUGAAAUGCGUAGAGAUAUGGAGGAACACCAGUGGCGAAGGCGACUUUCUGGUCUGUAACUGACACUGAGGCGCGAAAGCGUGGGGAGCAAACAGGAUUAGAUACCCUAGUAGUCC